GCUCAGUUGGAAUGGCUCAGUUGGCACAGCAUAUGACUCUUAACCUAAGGGUCGUGUGUUCAAGCCCCACCUUGGGCA